GCCAAAUGGUUAAUUAGGGAAGCUAAUUGCAGGGAGUGUCACAGGCAUUGAUUGUGCUCUUAUCAACUGGAGACAGCCUAUGUCAGAAGACUGUGGGCCGGCUGUAUGAAUGAUACAGUCCUGGCCAAUGCCUGAACUGCAGAAUGAAAGACAAACAAUGGGCAAACUAAUUAAAAAUGCCUAAUUAAAAUCACCUGAGCAGAAAAUCAAUACUUUGUCAUGGUCUGAAUAGUUGACAGAGGAGUAUUUGUCCCAGCUUCAGUCAAAAGGCCUCUGCAGGAAUGGAAAAGUCUGAAAAUUAGACAAUUUCGGCUGACAUAUUGACGUAUUUCUGAAUGAAACUGAAGAUUCACAAUAGACUUUAUAUUUUGGGAACUGAAUGGAUCAUGAGAAGUGAGUGCUUCAUAUUAGAAUGGAGUCAGACCUGAAUGUGAGUUGUACUCUAUGUGCUCUCCUGAAAAACCACCGGCACCAAAUUUUGAGGAGGCUAUUUAACCAGAAUGUGGAGACUGAAGGUCGAGUUCAUCCUUGAGAACAUCUCAGCAUAUUCCAAAGGCAGGCAGAUGAAGACGACUGGAAAGGCUGAU